AGAGUUUGAUCAUGGCUCAGGAUGAACGCUGGCGGCGUGCCUAAUACAUGCAAGUCGAGCGAAUGGAUUAAGAGCUUGCUCUUAUGAAGUUAGCGGCGGACGGGUGAGUAACACGUGGGUAACCUGCCCAUAAGACUGGGAUAACUCCGGGAAACCGGGGCUAAUACCGGAUAACAUUUUGAACUGCAUGGUUCGAAAUUGAAAGGCGGCUUCGGCUGUCACUUAUGGAUGGACCCGCGUCGCAUUAGCUAGUUGGUGAGGUAACGGCUCACCAAGGCAACGAUGCGUAGCCGACCUGAGAGGGUGAUCGGCCACACUGGGACUGAGACACGGCCCAGACUCCUACGGGAGGCAGCAGUAGGGAAUCUUCCGCAAUGGACGAAAGUCUGACGGAGCAACGCCGCGUGAGUGAUGAAGGCUUUCGGGUCGUAAAACUCUGUUGUUAGGGAAGAACAAGUGCUAGUUGAAUAAGCUGGCACCUUGACGGUACCUAACCAGCAAGCCACGGCUAACUACGUGCCAGCAGCCGCGGUAAUACGUAGGUGGCAAGCGUUAUCCGGAAUUAUUGGGCGUAAAGCGCGCGCAGGUGGUUUCUUAAGUCUGAUGUGAAAGCCCACGGCUCAACCGUGGAGGGUCAUUGGAAACUGGGAGACUUGAGUGCAGAAGAGGAAAGUGGAAUUCCAUGUGUAGCGGUGAAAUGCGUAGAGAUAUGGAGGAACACCAGUGGCGAAGGCGACUUUCUGGUCUGUAACUGACACUGAGGCGCGAAAGCGUGGGGAGCAAACAGGAUUAGAUACCCUAGUAGUCC
rnacentral:rRNA from 1 species